CACGUAGGGGGCAAGCGUUGUCCGGAUUUAUUGGGCGUAAAGAGCUCGUAGGCGGCUCAGUAAGUCAGGUGUGAAACCUCCAGGCUCAACCUGGAGACGCCACCUGAUACUGCUGUGGCUAGAGUCCGGUAGGGGAGCGUGGAAUUCCUGGUGUAGCGGUGAAAUGCGCAGAUAUCAGGAGGAACACCGGUGGCGAAGGCGGUUCUCUGGGCCUUACCUGACGCUGAGGAGCGAAAGCAUGGGGAGCAAACAGG
rnacentral:rRNA from 1 species